rnacentral:rRNA from 1 species
UACAGAGGUCUCGAGCGUUAGGCGGAAUCACUGGGCUUAAAGCGUGUGUAGGUGGAUGCCUAAGUACCUUGUGAAAUCCCACAGCUUAACUGUGGAACUGCUUGGUAUACUGGGUGUCUUGAGUCACUCAGGGGCGAGCGGAACAAAUGGUGGAGCGGUGAAAUGCGUAGAUAUCAUUUGGAACGCCAUGGUGGAAACAGCUCGCUGGGGGUGCACUGACACUGAGACACGAAAGCCAGGGGAGCGAACGGG